UCUUUCUGUGCUGAGGCUCUGGAAUGUGCACUGGGCACAGUACCCAAGUGAAAAUGUAGAACCAUUCUCUGUUGCCUUCCUUCUGAGAACAGA
ensembl:snoRNA